UGGGGAAUUUUGGACAAUGGGGGAAACCCUGAUCCAGCCAUCCCGCGUGUGCGAUGAAGGCCUUCGGGUUGUAAAGCACUUUUGGCAGGAAAGAAACGUCAUGGGUUAAUACCCCGUGAAACUGACGGUACCUGCAGAAUAAGCACCGGCUAACUACGUGCCAGCAGCCGCGGUAAUACGUAGGGUGCAAGCGUUAAUCGGAAUUACUGGGCGUAAAGCGUGCGCAGGCGGUUCGGAAAGAAAGAUGUGAAAUCCCAGAGCUCAACUUUGGAACUGCAUUUUUAACUACCGGGCUAGAGUGUGUCAGAGGGAGGUGGAAUUCCGCGUGUAGCAGUGAAAUGCGUAGAUAUGCGGAGGAACACCGAUGGCGAAGGCAGCCUCUUGGGAUAACACUGACGCUCAUGCACGAAAGCGUGGGGAGCAAACAGG
rnacentral:rRNA from 1 species